rnacentral:tRNA from 1 species
GUGACCAUGAUGUAACAGCAGCAUCCGGCCCUGUGACGGCCGUUGUGCGGGUGCGAAUCCCGUUGGUCACCCCA